ensembl:snRNA U6 U6 spliceosomal RNA
GUGCUCACUUCAGCAGUACAUAUACUAAAACAGGAAUGAUACAGAGAAGAUUAGCAUGGCCCCUGCACAAGGUUGACAUGCAAAUUCAUGAAACAUUCCAUAUUUUU